UCCGGUUGAUCCUGCCGGACCAGACGGCUAUUGGAGUUCGACUAAGCCAUGCGAGUUUUUUCGUAAGGAAAGCAUACUGCUGAGUAACACGUGGAUAAUCUGCCCUUGAGUGGGGUAUAACCUCGGGAAACUGAGGCUAAUCCCCCAUAGGUUCUUGAUACUGGAAUGUACUUGAACCCAAAGUUUCGGCGCUCAAGGAUGAGUCUGCGACUGAUCAGGCUGUUGGCGGGGUAAAGGCCCACCAAACCUUCGACCAGUAGGGGCAAUGAGAGUUGGAGCCCCCAGUCGGGUACUGAGAUACGGACCCGGGUCCUACGGGAUGCAGCAGGCGCGAAACCUCCGCAAUGCACGCAAGUGUGACGGGGGCACUCCAAGUGUCAUGGAUUUUUUUCAUGUCUUUUCUCAACUGUAAAUAGGUUGAGGAAUAAGAGCUGGGUAAGACAGGUGCCAGCAGCCGCGGCAAUACCUGCAGCUCGAGUUGUCUGGAUUUUUACUGGGUCUAAAGCGUUCGUAGCCUGUCUUCUAAGUCCUUUGUGAAAUCUAACAGCUCAACUGUUAGGCGUGCAGAGGAAACUAGGAGACUUGGGAACGGGAGGAGCUAGAGGAACUCUAGGGGUAAGGGUGAAAUCUAAUAAUCCUUAGGGGACCACCGGUGGCAAAGGCGUCUAGCUAGAACGUUUCCGACGGUGAGGAACGAAAGCCAGGGGAGCAAACGGGAUUAGAUACCCCGGUAGUCCUGGCCGUAAAUGAUGUGAACUAGGUGUUGCGCGUCCUUUUUGGGCCCGCAGUGCCGAAGGUAAGCCGUUAAGUUCACCACCUGGGAAGUACGGUCGCAAGGCUGAAACUUAAAGGAAUUGACGGGGGAGCACAACAAGGGGUGGAGCUUGCGGUUUAAUUGGAUUAUACUCCGGAAAUCUCACCAGAGAAGACAACAGGAUGAAAGCCAGUCUGAAUGGCUCGCUAGACUCGUUGAGAGGUGGUGCAUGGCCGCCGUCAGUUCGUGCCUUGAGGUGUUCUGUUAAGUCAGACAACGAACAAGACCCGUGCCAUUAGUUGCUACGGACCAGUCCGCUGGUUCGGCACUCUAAUGGGACCGCUGCCGCUAAGGCAGAGGAAGGGGCGGUCAACGGUAGGUCAGUAUGCCCCGAAUUUUCUGGGCUACACGCGAGCUACAAUGAUCGGAACAAUGAGCUGCGACCCCGUAAGGGGGAGCCAAUCUCCAAAUCCGACCCCAGUUCGAAUCGAGGGUUGAAACUCACCCUCGUGAAGCCGGAAUCCCUAGUAAUCGGGUGUCACUAGCGCCCGGUGAAUACGUCCCUGCUCCUUGUACACACCGCCCGUCAAAUCACCCGAAUUGGGUAUGGAUGAGGCUCUACUGUCGUGGUAGAGUCGAAUCUGAACUCAGUAAGGGGGGUUAAGUCGUAACAAGGUA
rnacentral:rRNA from 1 species